UGGAAUGUGGCUCAGUGGUAGAGUGCUUGCCUAGCAUGCAUGAAUCCCUGGGUUCAAUCCCUCAGUACCAU
rfam:Dipodomys ordii contig_66837, whole genome shotgun sequence.